CUAAUUUUAAAAUUUGUGUUUGAUUUUGAUCAUCAAUUUUAACCAUAAUCUAAUAUAUUUAUGUGAGUUUUAGGUUCUAUAUUCCAAAUUGGUUCUUAUUUGAAUAUAAUUAUAUGUAUGCGUUACACAAACGUAAAAUCUCAUAAAAUAAUUGAAAAUCCAGAAACUUCCCGAAAAUUCAAUGUGAUAUCUUCCUUGACAAAAAUAAUCUGAAUAAUAUUAAAUAUGAUUUGUAAAACUAUCUAUAAAACCAAGCAAGCAAAGUACUAAGUUACACAUUCUCGAGUUCUUCGUUCUUUUAUUUUUCGCUCUACAAGAGGAAAAACAUUUUUAUCUUCCUCGGCCGAAGCUUUAAUGGCAACUUCUGUUGUCACUAAUGCUUCGGCCGAGACGUCUACUUGUUAGCGUUCACUUUGACUAGUUUAAUUUCUUAUAUAUGUAUCUCAAAAGAUAUAAUCUUCUCGGUACCAGAUAAAGAAAAAUAAAAAAUGAUCUUUGGAUGUGGAACUCGUGCAGCUAUGAGACUGGAAUUCAUGCGGCCAUAAAACGGACUUCUUGUAGAUUCCAAAUAUUCCGAUCUCUCGCAUGUUCAAAUCUACUAGAUCAGUUUUUAAUUUUAAUAUUUUUGUAACGGUCCC